AAAAAAAAAAGCAUGUGAAAAAAUAAAAAAUAAUAAAGUUAGUGCAGAUUGAAAAUUGAAAGACGAAUGACAUAUGUCUAUUUACAUGCACACUUAUUUCACACUUAUUUAAAUAUUUGAUAUGGAUUUGUCAAUCGAGGUCAUAGAAGAUUCUAAUAAGGAAGGUCAUUCAGAUUUUGAUUAAAGGGUCUUAAAAGCAUAGAAGGUUGGAUGGAAAAGACCAAAUAAAAAUAAUAAGAAGGAUCUAAGAAAGCAAGCAAGGGAAGCGAACAUGAGUCAAGAUUGAAAUGAGUGCAGAUAAAUUCAAUCGACAUGCCAAAUGAAUAGGAUAAGAUUUGUGGAUUACGUCCUAAUAGCGACAACACAUAACAAUAAACAACUCACAAGGUUAAAAUCACAAGAUAAUACAACUGAAAGCUGAAACAAGUAUAGAAUUAAAUAAGAUUAAAUGAUACCAACCACUAGAUGGCAUAAUGAAAUCUUUACCCCUAAAAGUAGAAACAUAUGCAAAUGCAUCAUGACACAAAAGGCUGUGUUAUAUACAGAAACAUUAAAAGAUUUUUUUCUCAUUCAUCUUGGAAAAGUAAAAAACCAUUUACUGAAAAAGUAAACACUGGAAAAGUGGAAAGGAUUGAUAAUAGCAUAAAUCCACUACUUGCUCAUAUUAUUAAUGGAAAGCAAAGCACUAGUCGAAGGUGGACCUUCAUCACAAGGAAACAAGCUAUCUAGGAUUUAAAUACAGCUUCCAUUUUGAGAGUAUUGAACAACAGGUACUUUUUGCAGCCACACGUACCAACAUGUACAUCAAAGUGCAUCUUAUUGCAGCUGCCAAAAUAUAAGCAGGCACUCAAGCAUAUUGGCCUGCACUUGCUAUUACAAGCACAUGCCUUUUGUUGCCACUUCUGACUGUAAGAUAACACUUUAAGACACAUAGAAGAAGAAAGAACGCAUGGCAAAGGAUACAUGUAUAUGAUCACUCCAUCAUUGGCAACAUGUGCACAAAUAUGCAUAUAGUAGCCAUAUCCCAUCAGUCAUUCAGCAAGCAUCACUUUUAAGCCAUGACAGUUAGAAGGCCUGCCGACAAUUUAAAACUAGAAGAAAUAGUAGCCUACCUCUCUUGGGUUUUGGCACCUUUGUAUACACAUAUCCGUGCAUCACUUCCUCAGACCCCUUGUGCAUUAAUACCAUAAACGUCCCUCAGAAAUCAUUUCCAAUACAACAAACACAGGUAAUAAAGUUGGGUUUGAACUCACCAGCUUUCUUUUAUGUACAGAACUCCUGCUGGCUUUGUUCUUCUUGCUGAUCCUCUGAAAAAAAAUAUAUAGUGCUUUUAAGUGAAGAUGAUAUGUCAUUCCAAAAAAUUCCUGAUGCACUGGUGGGGUAUGAUGAGUUUAACAAGAGAGAGAGAGAGAGAGAGAGAGAGAGAGAGAGAGGAGGUAGGUNNNNNNNNNNNNNNNNNNNNGAGAGAGAGAGAGAGGAGGUUGGAUGGAGAGUGGAGAGAAUGCAGAGACUCACAUCAAACUCUUCAUCUUUUGUCUUUGCGACAAAAGCAUCCCAGUCCUCCUGCUUUACAUAUGAUGGUUUUAGUGGCUCAAUACCUCUUUCAAGAUCUUUCUUAACCCGAACCAAGAGUUUGUAUUUGUGUUGUCUAUAACAAGAAGAAAUCUUUUUCCUGGUAUAGCUUCCAUUUAUAUCAAAAUUAUACCUCUCCUGUAUAUUGAAAAUGAUUGUUGCCAAAAUUAAGAAUACGAAUGAUGACAGAAAAAAAUCAAAAAACUUGGAGUAAAUACCUGUACAUGGAAAGGAUGGAGAUGCCUACCAUUAAUACACUUAAAACUGAUUUAUAGUCAUCAGUUGGAACAUCACUGAUUUGCUUGAAUCUGACAGGUAGAAAAUGGCAUACAUAUGAAUUAAUUGACCGUUUAAAGGCCCCAGCAUUUGGGCCUGUCGGGUUACCAGCUUCAUCAAAAUCCACUGUCAAUCUCUUGACUGUAUUACGGUUAGCAACACGACAAACUUUUCUAGGUACCUUUUUCAAGCCUGCAUCUGGAAGGACCAUCUCUAGAACAUAAGAAAACAAGAUAGCUUAUUAAUAUAUACAGGCAAAAACUAAACGAAAAUACAAUCACCUUGAAUUUCUUCACACGGAAAAUCAGAGCUCUUCAUUGCUUUGCUUAAAAUGCUAUCAAUGUUUGUAUUCGUAUCAAGGAUGCUGAUAGCAAUGUUGUCUAGGAUAUUACUCUUAUACCGAAGAUCGUUGUAUUCCCUGCUAUCAUCCUUUGUCAAACCUGUGUCUUUGUUCGUACGUAUUUCUGGCAUAUUAAGACCCUGAGGUACCUGUGCUUGCUCAGUAGUUACCUCCUCCAUGUUGUCCUGGUCAUCAUUCAUUCUCAUAAUAUCCACGGAAGAGGGCCUUGAACAGUCAUUUGGUAAUCCUUCAUUAUUGUCACCACUUGAUAAUCCAGAGCUAAGGGAUACAUUGGGAAUUAUGUCAGCACCUGAGUCACCUAUAAACAAGAAAAUGAUGUACUGGUGAAGAAAAACUGUGUAUAUGAAUAACAAAAAACAAGGGUACUUUUGUCAGGGAAACAAAGAAUAGUAACAUAAAAGCAAGCACAUAUGAUAAUCCAAUCGCCUAAUCUUAAAGCAGAAGAAACAUUCUACGAAUUAUCAGCGACCACAUUAAAAUGUUAAAGUUUUUCUUUCCUUUUUUUUCUUUUUUUUCGGUGGGGAGGGGACUGGGGUGCUUGGAGCACACUAAGAUAAAGAAGGCUGAAACAAUCAUUGCUUGCGAUAUACUUUCUGUCGUCUUCUGUAAAUAUAGUCAAUGCAGAAAAAAUCUGAAACUAAAAGAAAUGUUCUCAAAUCAGCAGCAUAGGUAAGAUCUAAUAAUCUUUUUCAUUUUCUCCCUUGAGCUGGACUUGGCUACACUCAAUGGAUAUCCAUUCAAAUCUGGUCUGGUCUACAUUGGACAAUGGAGGUCUCAAAUCAAUUAUCUGAGCUAUCGGAUGUGUGAUCUACUACCUCUACAUUGCUUAUAUACCAAAAAUCAUAUGAUUUGGAGAUCCCUAGACUAUUCAUCAAGUGUCCAAAAAAUAAACAAUUUAAUGUUAUUAGGCUAUUUAAGUUUUUGACCAAUUGAAGCAUGGCUAGAGGUCUCUAAAUCAUAUGAUUUUAGAUUUAAAGAUAGUAAAUCACAUCCAACAGCUCAUAUCAUUGAUGUGGACUCUCAUCGUCCAAUCCAGACCUGACUGAAUCUUAAUGGAGAUGCACUCAACUGUAGCCAAGUCUACCUCUUCUCCCUUUAAAUUUUGAAAUAAGUAAUUGUGACAAAGACGUCUAUCUCACAUGCUCAAUAACCAUAAUUAUCAAUCUUUGUCCCGGCUAUUAAGGGCUGGCCUCAUGACGUGGUACUUAAAAGUGUUAGAAGUCCAUCUUUGCUGUUUUUGGAGCUUAGUUAAGCAUGAAGUAUCCAAAAGAGAAAAUGUCAAAUAUUUCUCAACCUUAAGUCUUGAGCUAAAUUUACAGUUUGGAUGAGGAAUAUGUAUCUUAAUAGCAGUUGUAUUGGUAAGACAUAUAGCACUAACCUUGUGAAGCAUUCAGAAGAUAAGCAUAAUAGCUAUCUUACCAGUGCCUUUUUUCAUCAUUUAACACUAAUACCCUUUAAUUGCAAUUUUUCAUAGCAAUAAAACCAUCUUGCAUAUCAUGCUUUAUACUUGUGACCACUUUCUAAGAUCUACAAAGUAACAUCAGUUCAUUAGCAUUCCACUCUUUUCAACAAACACAUCAAACAAGUCAAAUCAUCAAUAUGUACAUAUUAAAAGCAAAAACCCAAAGAAAUCAAUCACUAAUAAGGUUCUCGAUGUUAUAUAGAAGAUGCAAAAACCUGACAAGUAAUAUCUUUAAUAUAAUUUUAUUCUAAACUAUUAAUAAAAAAAAUUUGCUUAUAGUUUUUCUGAGUAGAAUUAAUUUACUUGUAAUUUAGUCAAUAUACUUUUUCUAUUUAUCCAUUUUAUUCAUUUUUCUUGUUGUUGAACCAAAAAAUUAGAUAUGCAUCAAGAUCUAACUCUCACACUUGUAUCCAUGCAAUACUACCUUCAAGAUAAUAAUUAUCCACAAAAACAAAUUUUAACCGAUUGAGAAAUAAUUAGCCAAAAAUUUAACCUUCACUACAUAAAGCCAAAUUAGUUCAUUGGAAUCAUCAUUGCCUGCACCAAUUUUUUACCCAAGACCCACUUCCUCAACCUCAUAAUGUGUGUUCAUGAAAGCAGGUGCAACUUUGUAGGCCACUCCUUGCAAAUUGUUAUGCCAACACUCACUUUCAUUCAUUUGAGAACUUUUCCACCUAGCCAGUGUAAAAAUCAUGUAUCAUUCAAAGUUUUUAUACUUUUAUUUUAAAACAUCCAGUUAAACCUGCCAUUCUUCGUAGCAUUGUUCUUUAUCUAGUUUCAUUGCUACGCCACUUCCUUUGCAAUUUCUAGUGGUCAUAUCUCCACUGAUCCUUAAACUCAUUAUCUUUUUACUAAAACUAAUUUUUUUUUUUUACUCUUGAUGAAACAAAUUUUAUCUAUAGUAGCAUGUAUCUUUCUCACUCAUUUAACCUCUUCAUCGCAAGCAACUCGCAAGCAACUCUAAGAUCAUGAUAGGAUGCAUACUUGCAUGCUUAGACCCUUACCUUGUCCCCUAUAACUUCAUAUGGAGAUAUUUGUGACAAUAGGACAUAUCUGAUAAGUUAAAAAGACUUUAUAACUACGCUUUAUAUACGAUACAACCUCAAGUUAAUCCCAAUAAUUUAGUCACUUAAAAUGGCCGUAAUUCCCAUGGAUGCUAUAAAACUUGUACAAUGAAAUGUGAAAACAUUACACCACUUGUGAACCCAAGCAAGUCUUUGAAAUUUUACUUGUUUCAAGAGCAAAUCACACAUAAAAGUCCCUUUAAUUAUCAAGUUGAUAGUUCCAAUAAGUUUUAACACGUUUUCAAAUAAGCUCCGAUUUCUGCACUCUACCUAAACCCCAAAGACGUAAGCUUAUUUUCCCACUUUAGUUUACCAAGCUUUCAGGCUUGACCCUUUGGCAACCAAACAACACGUCAAAAGAUAGCAAAACACACUUAACUACAUACCUGGCACAUGUCGGAAGUGAGAUCAAACCCAUCCUAGCUACUCCCAAUGAAUUAUGAAGAUGAUUUGUCAAGUCUUCUCCAUUCCCCACAUAAUGUUGGAAUUUAAAAGGUUCUAUAUGGAUUUAUAUACUAAUAAACAACAAAAGCUGAACUCUUCUUAACAAAGAUCUUCUUGCAAGUAAAAUAAACUAACAAUUGGGGUUCAAUUGCUCCAAAUUUAAGGAUGAUUUCUUAUUUCCAACUCUGGGAUAAUUGAGAUGCACCUUGAAGGGGAAAAACCUUGAAGUCUCCAAACACGUGUACACCUUCUCCAUAAAAACCUUGCGAAUGUAUUUUAGUUCAUAUGCUCCACCUUUUUAAAAAAGGACUCUUCUUAAGCUAAAUUUUAAGAAUAUGCACUUGUAUAUGGUAGUAUGGCCACAAAUCAUGCCCCACACAGCAUGUCAUCUUACCAGCUAGCAGCUUAUCGACCUGAAACACUUCCUGAUGGCCGCUAACAGUUCUCAUAAUCAUAUUCUUAAAGAAACCAAGUAGCAACCCAUCAAAAAGCAGAAAACAACUUCAUUGCUUUGACUAACUCAUUCAUCUUUACGCUGACACUCUCUAUCCCUUGCUCUGAGCUUCUCAUUAGCUGACAACUUUUCGAGCAAAUUGCAAUAAAAGUAAACCUUCAAUUCGUGAAUUUUUUAUACCCUUUCCUCGUCCUCAAAAUGGAAACAAAAGAAGACAGCAGAAAGUAAGCUUCCCUUCCUAAUGAUAAAAGAAAAGGAUGCAUCAGAAAUAUGAACUCAUAUUUUGCCCAUCAAAAUGAAACAAGAACAACCAAAGAAACUAAUGGAAACAAAAAUUCCAUAAAGAAUCUCCUUUUCAGUGAAAGACGCACUAUUGACUAAAAAUAUAGCUCUAAAUCAACGAACCCUAGAAUUAACACACUCAGUUGAACGCAAGAUGAACAAAAUCACAGGAACCAAGUAAUCAGAAAGGACGACCACCUGUUUGCCUUAACUGCUUUCUUCGGAUGAACAAGAGUAGGAGGUCCUCGUGCAGCGCCCGAAGGAGCUCAGUCCGCGAUGACGCCCUCUCGAUUAGCGUCGACUGGUAGCUAAGAAGGUUCUGCAUUCGCUGGCGCUCCAAAUCCCCCGCCUCUGAGGUCCGGAUUCGGUCCUCCAGAGCCUUGAUCUCCUUACCGAGGGCGUCGAUCUUGUCCUCCUCGGUCCGCACGGUGGAGCUGAACUUGUAGUGGUCCUGGAGGACUCGUCUGAUCUCCGACUCGAUCUGCUCCAUCUCCCGGCCUCGAUCGAAACCCUAAUCCUAGGCCCGGGCGAUGCUCGCAUUGAGGAAGCGAGAGAACAAUUCAGGGCGCCAUGGGAGAGGAGAGAUAUGGAGAAGUGGGCAAGAACCCUGUUUAAAAGUUUCUUUUUCCUGUUUAAAACUUCAGCAGCAGAAGCCGAAGGUUUCUCUUUCCCGUUUAAAGUUUCGGGAGUAAAAGCCAAAGCGCGAUGAGGGUAUAAGAAGGCACAUGCGAAAAGGAUGAAGAUGCGAGUUUCUUUGUUAAAAAAAAGGUUUUAAUCUUUCAAAAGCUGUCUAAUGUUUUUAUAAUUCUUUUAUGAAUUUUGGAGAAAAUAAACAGAUAUCUUGGAAGAGAGAAAAUCCACUUUUUAAAAUAGAAUUACAUAAAACGAACUGGAUUUCUAAAUUUGAUUGACGGUUUUAGGGUCGGGAUUGAACGAGGGAUAGUAUAGAUUGUAUGGUCCUAGAUUUAACGACCAUCAUGAAAUGCUAAAUAGCUAAAAUCUACUGACUAACAUAUUAAUAAAUGGAUUAAUGGCAUAGCUGGACUUAAAGUUAGGAUGCCGCAAAGUUGUGUUGCUUGUAUGUUUUUAAAAUUAAAUAGCUAGGAUUUUGUAGGAGGGGAUAAGGGGGUUUGAGGAUGAUUGUAAGAGCUCGGUAUGUGGUCAGUCACUUCUAGGGGUGGCAAAAUAUGAUUCGACCCGCCAUAAACAGGUUUGGGUUUGGCCUAAACAUGUUCGGGUCGUAAACAGGUUGACCCGUUUAAACUGUUUAUUAAUUGGGUCGGAUACAGGUUUUAUAUGUCUAACCCGUAUAACCUGUUUAAUAUAUGGGCCUCAUUGGGCCUGAUUUUAUCCCAAAUAAAAUUGAUGGAGGCUAACAAUUUCAAGAUCCAACGACUGGGAGUGGAGAUGAGAUUCACAGAUGAAAACCUAACUAAAACUAAAAGAAGAGAAAGUGAGAAAGAGAAACCCCCUGGAGUCGCCGCCAGUCGGGCUCUUUCCCCCUUUCCCUCCUCAUCUCUCCCUAUCUUCCCCCAGCUACCGAGCUGCCGAAGAUCUCCCUCCAACCGUCGCCCCUCCGGCCGUCGUGGGAUUUGACCUCGAUCCCUUUAGAUUUGGCGAACAAACAAGCCGAGGAGGUCGGUGAGGAGGGACUCGAUGAUGCUAAGGAGAAGCAGAAGAUCCGAGGACGCCGGGCCUUCAAUGAUGCCGAGGAGGUCGGUGAGGAGGGACUCGAUGAUGCCGAGGAGAAGCAGAAGAUCCGAGGACGCCGGGCCUUCAAUGAUGCUGAGGAGGUCGGUGAGGAAGGACUCGAUGACGACGACGACGACGCCGGCGUCGGGGUCGGAGGAGGGGGCCAAGGGUCGGAGGAUUUCAUCGAGAUCCGGGGACGGGUCGUCAGAGGACCGAAGGAGGGAGUGAUGGCCACAGAGGGAGACGUGGGGGUCGACGGCCCAGGGCUUGCCGCGAUUGGGGUCGUGGGACCUUCCGACUUCCGAGGCGGGGCUUCCGGGAGGUGAGCGGCGGCCGUCGCCGGCGGACGGAGGGGGAGGCGGAAAAGUGGGAGAACAUGGAGGGGGUCUUGGAGGAGACGGUCGAAUGGGUGAGAGGAGAACGAGGAGGGGGUCUUGGAGGAGACGACCGGACGGGUAAGGGGAGAACGGGGAGGGGGUCUUGGAGGAGACGGUCGGAUGGGUGAGAGGAGAACGGAGAGCGGUCUGGAUCGGGUGUUCAUUGUUUAAACGGGUCAAGACUCAAGAAGGAACUAUUUAAACUGAUCUGUUUAUUAAACAUGUUAAAUGGGUCGGGUCGGGUAACCUAUUUAAUAAACAGGUCGGGUUCGGGUUGUAAUUUCUGACCUGUUUAAUAAACAGGUCAAAUUCAGGUUUAUAAUUUUUUGACUCGACCUGAAUCUGACCUGACCCGUUUAUGCUCGACUCGACCCGAUUGCCACCUCUAGACUCACUUCGGAAGUAUCAUGUGGGUUGGAAAGAGGGAGUUGCCUAGAGCAUUUCAGAAUUUGUUGUUUUUUAAUCUUAUUAGAUUUAUCCAUGUUAGAACUGUAUGAAUCAUAUAUUUUAGCAAAAUAAUAAUAAUAAUAAUAAUAAUAAUAAGAGCUCUUCCGAUCUAGUAAGUAGGAGAUUAAUAUAAAGUGGCAUCCCUUUAUUGGGUAGAGAGAGGGAAAGAGGAGGAUUGUGGAGGAGGGCAAGGAUUAAGGAGGUUGUGUUUUUCAAAAUGUAUCCUUGGAAGGAUAAAAUGAGAAGAUUAAGAGGAGGGUUGAGAUGAGGAAAGAGAGUUAAUUCAUAGUUGAAAAGGAUAGUAGAUGGAAGAAUGUGAUAGGUCAAUUCAUUCUCCUCUGAAAUUGAUAUGUUGAAGAACUUAUUGAAGGAUAUGAUUUUGUACAAAGGAAAAGGAUCCAAUAAAUGAGGAUGGAGUGCAGUAGAUGUGAUCUAUACUAGAAACAAGUAAGAUUUAAAGGCCAAAAUUAUCAUUAGGAGGGGAUGCAACAUAUUAUGCCAAAUUCAAUCUAAUGCAUAUAAUGAAAAUGAUAUAAAAAUAUUAUUAUUAUGGAUAAUAUAUUGUUUUUAUGUUUUUGUAUGAUUGGGUUUAGCGUAAAGGUGGCGGCAUUGGCAGAUAGUGUUUAGAGAGGCGCAUAAUGAGAGGAAUUGAGGAAUAAUAAGAUGGUGACUUAUGAGAGUGCCACCUGUCACGCUAACAAAUAACUCAUUCUAAUGAUAGAAUAACAGAGUUAGUGGUCUUAACUAGGUGUACACUUCUACGAGAAGAUCUUCUUUGUGAUAUACAUCCAUACUAAAGAAGCAAAAUAUGAAUUUUACAGGUGCAAUCAUGAAAAAAUAGAUCUAAUGGGACCCACAUUGGGUUCAAACUAGAUUCGAAUGUGGUACAAGCGCAUGAUUUUAGAUUUUCUUAGUGGAUAUAUUAUGUCUAGCACUUAGAUUUGGAUCCAUAGGAAUUAAAUCAAGAUAGGGUUAAUUAGAUUGGGGCGACAUAAGUUCAAAUUGGUUGGAUAGGGUGCAAAUGAGUGUGAUCGGGUAUGAUUGGCUGGUUAAGAUUAGAUUUCGAGUAUGAUCAAAUUAGGUCGAAUUAAGUAGAUCAAGCGUGAGCUUAGGUUGGAGUGGAUGAGAUUAGGUUGAAUUGGCUAGAAUUGGGUGAGGUCAGGUUAAGUCAAAUGCAACUAAGCAAAAAGAUUAUUCAUCCUAUAAUAUUGAUAUUUUCUCUAGUUCGGAAAAUACUAUACAUGAAGCGACAAAAAUAGAUAACCAAAAAAAAAGUCUACCAUGGAAAGUGGUAACAAGCAAAAUAUGGUUCCAAAUUAAUUCCCAAAAAAAGUUCCCGCUCUUGCCUUUAUGUCAUUGUAAAGUGUAACUAACGUAAUGUAUAAUAUUAUCUCAUCCUCUACACGCUCGUCGCACCUCCUCUUUGAUACGAACACAGAUGUUAGCCUUGUUUGAGAUAAUUCAGAAAAAAAUGGACAAUAUAAGAUACGAAUUUUUAGGUUUGUCUAAAAUAAAAUUAGAUCCAAUUAUACCAAAUCCAUACAUGUAGAGAAGUGCACAAAUAGUCAAGUUUGGGAUACUAUUUUACAAAGUUGAGGUUUUGAAUUUGGCAGGUCCAACUUAAAUCAAGUUCAAGCAUAUCAAGUUUUCUCAUCCAUUCAUACCCUUACUUCUACUGCUAAGUAUGCUUGAAUCAUGAUGGAUAUCCAAAAACAUGAGUGGGAUCGAAUUUACGUGAAUGCAUAAUUUAACAUCAUCAAACAUCACUCGUAUACAAAUGCAAACAAUACAAAAAGAAAAUGAAAAUAUAGGAAGACCAGCACCCCUAAUACAAACAUGAUUGCCUAAACCAGCUGUCUGAUGCAAAUAUAAAACACACAGAGUGUAUUUUAUUUAAACCAUUGGCCUAGCAUUUAUGUUGUUGGUACCAUCAUUCAACCCACAAAUUAAUCUGACAUAAAACUCUUUGUUGCACAUUCCGAACCAAGUUUCAAUAGCUUUUUGAUUUGUUUAAAUAAAUCUAAUUGUUAAGAACUUAAGAUUGCUUACCAACAGAUAUGAUUGAUACUUUUACAAUAUUUAAGUUGUGCUAAUAUAAUGAAGAAUAAUUUAUCGAGGUUUUGGUGAGCUGUUUAUAGAUGCCUCCUGGGAUGCCAAUUUUCUCUUCGUAUUGCUGCUAUGCAUAAGCUACAAUGUAGAGAGAUGAAAUAUUACUAUCGGAGCUCCAGAAUUCGAUUUGAACCGUUAACCCGUCAACCUAAUCAUGUCCGACGCGGAUAUAGCUAGACUCGACCCGGUUUAAUAUCGAUUUACGACUUGAGCUCGGGCCCAACCUCUCUCUCUCUAUUGUUCUCCUCCAUUCCUCACCGCGCCCCGCCUCUCAGCUCUUCUGGCGACCACCUCCUCCACUGCUCCGCCUCCCAUCUCGGGCGCCGGCGAUCACCGUCCAGGUUCCAGACCCCUCCGCCAAGGUGACGCCUCUCAUUUAUCUCUUUCCAUCUCUCCUCUGCUGCCCUCCCUCCUCCCUUUCCCCGUCUCCGGCCAUCCCCUAGCGUCUUCAACUCCGCCUCUCCCUUCUCUUUCCUACCUUCUCCGGCAGCUCUUCUCUCCUUAUCUCUCCAUUUCACCUAUUCUGGUCUCUCUCCCUCUAUCCUUGCUCUCAGUACCCCAAUCGCCCUUCCCGUGUCGGUCUCCCCUCAAAGAUACUUAAAGACACUCGUAUUUCUUUUACUUUCCUCCACGAUACCUAAAGACACUCGUAUUUCUCUUACUUUCCACAGAUUUGAAUGCUUAAGCUGCUGCCUGUCUUAUCACAUGCUUAUUAGAUGGUUUUAUUUUUAAAUGCCGUGGGUUUCUUGUGGAAUUGAGCAGUGAAUUUGGGGUUCCUUAGGUAUAAAAGCUUUUGAAUGUUGGACUUUUAGUUAUCGUGGUUCAGCUGUUGUGAAGGGUUCUUAGGGUAGGUUAAUAGUUGUUAGAUUUAGAUUGGAAAAGAUGAAAUGUGGAUGAUCAAGAAAGCUGUAAAAGGCGUGAUGAGUUACUCCAGUUUUUUCCUCUCAGAUUUUUUGCCUUUUGUAAUCGAAGUAGAUUAAGAAAUACUGCAUUCAAUAUUUUUUGAUGAAAACAUGGUUAAUUUUUUGUACCAUUUUGCAUUCAUGAAAACCUCCAAUUUUCCCCCCUUAGGCUUACUUGGGGCUCCUUUAACCCAGCACGUUUAUCCUGUUCUUUAUGUAGGUGGGCUUCCUAUGCUAGUAGAAUUUACUCUCUCUAUCUCUCUCUCUCUCUGCAGGCGGAAGGUAUAUACGUACAUAUAUCCGCACGUACACAUCCAUGUACAUACUGAUUAAUAAGCUAAAUUGGGGUCCAACAUAAACAUAUUCUAGCCUGUGUUUUAAAUCAUCAAACUUUUUCUGACCCUCUGUGUGACAUUGUCAAUUGUGGUAAAUUCCUUGAUCAAAUUUUAUUAUGUAAUAUGUUUUACAAUGAUCAAAGGAUUUGAAAGGUAAGUAGAAUAAAAUUUGGUUAAAUUGGACGUUAAUACGGAAUUCUUUUGCAGUUAGGGUUUGACAACUGAACAUCUGGUCCAUGUUUUAUACAUGCAAAUGUGGGACUGAAAAUGUUAUCUUCAUGAAAAGUCUAUUGAAAAUGUUACCGUCAUGAAAAGUCUCUAUGUUGAUUUGAGUGCAUCCACCUAAACCUUCCUUCUACUCGUGACACCUUAUGCAAUAACAAUAUAUAAAACAAACCUUGAGAUAGGUGCCACCCUAACAUAAUAUGCAGUAGCAUAAUUGUUAUAUUUCACUCAUACCUAACACAUCACUCAACUGCCAAACCUGGUUGCAAAUUUUCCUCUAGCAACCAAUCAGGCCUGCCACUUACCCUUAUUCAAUCUUAAAUAGCCUUCUCUUAGAGCAAGCUAUGCCAACUCAAAUGAAAAUGAUCAAUGAUUUGUUUCUUGAAUGAUGAUAUAUUGGCUGUUCAUUGAAGAAGUUCUGAAAUUAUGAACAGCUAAUCUUGGUUGUCGGAACUUGCUUGUUAGUUUGAUAAACUGAAUUUUUCUUGAGUCAUGACUUUUCUAUUGCUGUUUAAAACUGGAAUUUUAUUGUUUUUUUAAUUUUAGAUUGCUUGAGCAAAGUCUUAUGGGUGUUGUUAAAUGCUAGCUUGAUUUAAGGUUCAUCUUUGUGCUUUAGCAAGGAUAUUUUACCUUGAUAUUUUCAAGAUCAAAACAGAAAAAUCAUUGGAAAGCUCAUGAAAUUUGUCACUUGUUGGUCCAUUCCUGGUUUAACUAUUUGCUUUAUCUUUUUCAUUUGUUUGGUCUUUCUUUAAUUUGAAACUACAAUCUGGGCAUGACAAUCAAAGCCAGGCAAAUUGUUUUUGAGUAGAUCAAAUUGAGUUGAUCCCCAUACUUUUCAUCUUGUUGGUGAACUAUAACAUGGUGUCUAAAUUCAAGCAUUUAUCUGAUUAAUUUUCCCAUAUGAUGCACAUAUCUAAUUCCCUCUGACAGAUUAUGUUGUAGUUAUGGUUACAUAAACAUCAGCACAUAAUGAAUUGUACUGGAGUGUACUACAUUAGUGUGCUAGCAUUUUGCAUAUUUUUUGAGGUUAUUUGAUCCCGUUAAAUUAAUUUAAUGUUUCUCUUUAAGUAUUUUUCAGGCCUGCGUAUUUGCUGCAUUUUCCACCUGGUCAUUAAGAUACUGUUUCCACUUUUCAGCUUUGCAUCAUAUUCCAAGGUACGUGAGUCUAUCUUUCAUUCUAUGGAUGAUUUGUAGAUAUCUAAUAUAUAUUUUGUUUUCUAAUAGAAUCUAAAUUAACCAAACCAGACAAUUUAUAUAAGGCUUGCUUUCGGUUUCGUAGAUGCAGUGUUAUAUGUUAAUUAUGAAGGUUAGCUGCAUACUUUGUUUUAGUGGUAUCUUUUGUCUAGGUCUUAUGCACUGCUUAAUCUAUGUAAUGAUAUAUAUUGAAGGUUUGCUUUGAAUAUUGGCAAUUAAUUGUGAGGAAUUUUGCAUAACUUGUAUUGUAUUAAUGAAUGCAGCUCAAAUUGUCUUCCACUAGACUAGGUAGUUUAAUGAUGCAUAUUGAUGUCACAUUAUAAUUAGAAAAGCAAAAAGAAAUUACAAUAGUCAUAUUACUUUGAGCACAUAAGUCCUUUUUAUUAUAUUUGUGUACUUUAAUAUUUGUUCGUAUAUGAAAAGUCAUGGUUUCUUAAAUUCGAUUUCCAAAUUGAUAGCACAAAAGGUUGAUCCAAACUGAACUCAACCUAAGCCAAAAAAUUGCCACCCCCAUCAACCCGCUUGCCCUUUUUUCUUCCUUUCUCAUAUCCUCCUUUCACUUUGCCACUUGUUUGCUCUUCUAUUUAGAAAUCUGAACCUAGGAUUUGACCAUAAUUGGAGUAGGAUUUGUUUUGAGUUUUUUGUUUCUUUUGAAAUAAAAUUGUUAAAUAUGGAUCCUAGAACCUAUGAAUCCAAUUGGAUCCCAAAUCUAGGUCUUUGUGGUGUAUGAUGAACCAACCUGUUUGCUUAACUAUGCUCCCUACUCCGUGGCUAUUCUUUGCGUGUUUCUUCGUUUUUUCUCACCCACCCUUCCUUCGAAUUAGCUUCUUCCCCAUCUCCACUCUCUCAUUGGUUAAUUGAAACCUUGCCGCAAUAUCUCUACCCACCAUGGAUGUCAUCUUCUAGAGUCUCAAAGGUACAACUCUUCCAGUCCCUACUCUUCCCUUCCUCUCUAUUCAUAAACCCUCUAACUCUCAAUCGCUUUUCAAUUGGAGCUAAACCAUGUGCCCAAUCUUUCUUUGUUUCUAUCCUCCUAGAAAGAAUGCAAAAGCAGGGCUCCUUGACCACAUUUAAAUUUGCUCGAGGAUUUUUCAAGCUGGUCUUAUCAAUUUAUACUGAGCCAAUUUUGCCUUUAUAUUAGUUUUUUGCACCUGCAUGACCUAAGUUUCAUGUGGGCUUUUAAUUAUUGCUUGUUAAGCUGUUUAUUGUUCUUGGGCACACAAUGAUGUUCACUUUCUUACUAACCGUCCUUGACUUUGUCAUCCACACGUUGAGGCUAAUUUGUUUGGGUCCAUUUUACGUAGUUCCAAGUCAAUAACUAUCAAGGAUUCUAAGUCCACAUUACCAAAAAAAGAUUCGGUUUGUUGGGUAACAUUGGCAGCUUUUUUGGACUAUAUGAGUUCAAAUUGGGUCAAUAUCUUGUGCAAUCCACAUAUAACUGAGAUGACACAUACAUGACCUAUUAGCAAGUUAAUGUAGCAUAACCCAUACCUGCUAGACGGUUGACCUUAUAAGCUGAUUGAUCCCACUCGACUAGUGUGUGUGCAAUACUACUUGGCACAUGAUUGGGAUGGAUUGUUUCAAUCCCAAAUUGUUCUAACUAGAAUUAAGUCCUUGGUCCAAUUUGCUGGUGUGUGUGUAAAUGCCUAUCCUUGAUAGGGUUGUCAAUGGGCUAGGUUAGGCCUAGGCCUGAAGCAAGCUUGAGGCUUAAACCUUAGGUCCAAGCUUGGCCCAGCUCAGAUCUAGCUUGGGGCUAUCAAUUUCAAGCCUAAUAUGACUUAGAAUAUGCUUUUAGGCUGGGUUGGGCUCAAACUAGGCCCUUAUUUAGUUUUUACCAUAUCUUUCAGCUCGAUCUUGCUCCGAGAAUUGAUUGAGUCUCAAAUUAUAGUCUCGAGACUGGCCCGUGGCCCUACAACUUGAGCCUGAGCUCGGAUUUUUUUUAGUCAUGUCUUUGGGCCAUUCUAGCCAACUCGACCCAUUGACAACCUUAAUCCCAACUCCCCCCCCUCUGUCCUAGUUCUUGCUAAAACCUAGCUGAAAUUAGUGUUUCAAGUAGGGAUGGGAUGUGAUGCUAAUAUAAUUCUUUCAAACCUAGCAGGCAUAUGAUGGUUGCGAGUUCUUUUUACCCUCAAAAUUUUGUAACCAGGAUUGGUUCUAUGAUCCUUGCAGCAUGUUGGUGUGCACAUAAACCCCUACAUUCACAACCCCCUCUGUGUUUGCUGAAACAUAGUUGAAGUCGGAGUUUUAAAUGGUGAUGGCAUAAAGGUUUAUGGAUAUCACGCUGUAGAAAUGUUUGAUAGUGAGAAAACUAGACCUUUUUGGUCAUGUUUUUCCAAAGCAUAAUGAAGCACAAGUUCAACUAAAAUUAUACUGCCUUUGUCACCCUUAAAUUUGUUUUCAUCUGAUAUUCUUUUUCUUGUUUUCUUUACUGGCAAAAAUAUGAUGGUUUUGUUUUGGUUCUACCAAUUUUUCACUUCAAAAAUUUUCGUAUAACUGAUUGAUUUUUGCAACAGGAUGUCUCAUAGAUGAUGUUGCAAGCAUGAGUCUUGCAGCAGAAUCUCCAUUGCACUCUUCAAGUAGUAGUGAUGAUCUCGCUGCAUUCCUUGAGGCAGAGUUGGAAUUGGCUUCUUCUGACACUUCUCCUAAUUAUCAACCAGAUGAAGAUGAGGAAAAUAAUGAUGUUCAUGAGCAGAGGUUUCUUAUUAGCAUUUUAUAGUUGCUUUCUUGAACUACAAUUAAUCAUUUGAGCAGUUUUUUCCCCUUUCCUUUCAAUGUUGGUUUACUCAACCUUGUAUAAUUUACCAUAUGGUGUAUCUCAUCCCAAUUCACAUACUAUCAGAAAUACACAUGCACACAUACAUACAUACAUAAACACACACACACAUAUAUUAUAUAUAUGUAUAUAUUAUUAUAUACAUAUAUAGAUAUGUAUGUAUAUGUAUAUAUGUAUAUGUACAUGUACACAUACACACACACACACAUAUAUAUAUAUAUACAUAUACAUGUAUAUAUGUAUAUAUAUAUAUAUGUAUAUGUGUAUGUAUAUGUAGAUGAAUAGAUAGAUAGAUAGAUAGAUAGAUAGAUAUCGCAUACACACAUAUACACACAUACAUAUAUACCUACAAAUAUCUAUAUAUAUGGAGAUACACAUAUCUAUAUCUAUAUCUAUAUAUAUGUGUGUAUGUAUAUAUGUGUGUAUAUAUAUAUAUCUAGAUAUAGACAUGUAUAUAUGCAUGUAUGUAUAUAUGUGUAUGUUUAUAAACGAUAUGUAUGUAUGUAUGUGUGUUUGUAUCCAUAUCUUGGUAUGAACAUACACAGAUGGAUAAUGCUCAGAUAUUUAGACAUAUUUAGAGAAAAGAAUUUUGCUUUUUUUCAAGCAACAUUAACUAAUUUUUUGCUCAUCUCGUGGCUGAGACAAAAUAAGAAAGUUCAAAUUCAUCAUAUCACAUGGUGGCACAAACAUGCGCACUUUUGCCUAUCAUUUUGGCAGCCUAUCUAAAUAAUCAUCUAGUAAGUCAGAUAAUAGCCAUGUCUUCUUGAGUUCUUGUAGUUUAGCAUAAGCAACAAAUUGAAUUGUUGCCAAAUUGCUAGCAAAGCCACAUGUAAAAUCAGACCAUCUCUAGAAAAGCGUUAUUCUUAUUAAUGAUGAUGCGAGACGUAACAGAUUCCCUUGGAUACAUCAGACUUUUAAGUUGUGGUGGUCAAUAGCCUCAUUCACGGCAACUUUGGCAAUGUAAAUCUCAAGGUAUGGAAACUAAAGCUAAUAUUCUUGGCCUCUGGAGAGGCCCAUUCCCCAAAACAUCAGGACUAGUAUCCUUGCAUGGAAGACACAUUUCAACAAAAUCCAUAUUGCAUCUUAAUUGGACCAGGGAAAUUAUGCUUCAAUAGGCAGGUAGAAGAAAUUAAAUAGAAAAAUAAUAUUUCCAUCAUAAUCAUCAUUAUCAAAUUUCAUAGAUAAAAUUGCUUCCCUUAUUGCUUAUGGAGGAAAAAAAAUGAAUUUUUCUUCUUUCUUAUAUAACUGAACUUUACAAGGCACCAUUAGAGUAAGUCAUUGUGGUAUCUAAGGAUGAAGAGAGCCAUGAUUCUGAAUAUGCCUAGCAAAGCAUGACUAACAACUCUAAAUAGCACUUUAGUUGACUAUUAAGGUUGAACAGUUAAGACAGAAGGAUCAAAUCCUUAGAAAAGAUUAUAAGAUUAUGAAUAUUUGCCUUUAGCUUUUGGCUCCUCAUGCUCCUGGAUUUCUUUUUCAUUACUUUUAAAUGUUAAAUCUCCAAAUGGGAUUACUAAUCUCAUAUUCUAGAGGCUCAUUACUGAUAAUUAAGUGAUUAUUAAAGUCAACCGAACCAUAAAAGAAUGGACUUUCCACAAGGUUUAGUAUGUGAAUAAUUGGAUCAAGUUGGAUCGUAUGAUUCAUGGGAUUGCAUAAUCUAUGAUCUUGAUCUAGAUCUAGUAAUUGCAUUUCAUCACAAUUUUGGGAUGGGAUCCAGAUUAAUAUGACCCAUAUUGACCUGGAGUAUAAAAUUUUGACAACAACAUUUCAAAGCAUGAUCCAUCAAGUUUUGGAGUUCCCUAGGACUGGACCUAAACUUUGUGUUAGUAACUCUCAAGAAUUGUUAAGGGACUCCUGGUUAAGGAAAUUUGGGACAAGAGAUGAACCUGCAACAAAACCCAGAAGACGUAUUCUAGAGNNNNNNNNNNNNNNNNNNNNNNNNNNNNNNNNNNNNNNNNNNNNNNNNNNNNNNNNNNNNNNNNNNNNNNNNNNNNNNNNNNNNNNNNNNNNNNNNNNNNNNNNNNNNNNNNNNNNNNNNNNNNNNNNNNNNNNNNNNNNNNNNNNNNNNNNNNNNNNNNNNNNNNNNNNNNNNNNNNNNNNNNNNNNNNNNNNNNNNNNNNNNNNNNNNNNNNNNNNNNNNNNNNNNNNNNNNNNNNNNNNNNNNNNNNNNNNNNNNNNNNNNNNNNNNNNNNNNNNNNNNNNNNNNNNNNNNNNNNNNNNNNNNNNNNNNNNNNNNNNNNNNNNNNNNNNNNNNNNNNNNNNNNNNNNNNNNNNNNNNNNNNNNNNNNNNNNNNNNNNNNNNNNNNNNNNNNNNNNNNNNNNNNNNNNNNNNNNNNNNNNNNNNNNNNNNNNNNNNNNNNNNNNNNNNNNNNNNNNNNNNNNNNNNNNNNNNNNNNNNNNNNNNNNNNNNNNNNNNNNNNNNNNNNNNNNNNNNNNNNNNNNNNNNNNNNNNNNNNNNNNNNNNNNNNNNNNNNNNNNNNNNNNNNNNNNNNNNNNNNNNNNCAGAGAAGAAAACCCUCCUGUUUUCCAGAGGAGAAAAGGCCGACACCUCUAGCAGGCCUGCCUUUCCACUGCUCCUGUUGUUCCCUUGCCCGCUCGUGGCCGCCCCACCCGGAAGAGGGCACGCUCGCGGCCGAUUCACCACCGGAGACCACCGCGACCUACGGAGACCCGCCGCCCCUGGUCCGACGGAAAGCCCUUUCGGCCGCGACCUGCCGCCACCGUCUGUGGCCGGAUACGGGAGAGGAAGACCGCCACACCACCCCGCUCGCCUCCGCCAAGCAGUACCCUUCGCCGUGCUCCACCUCCUCUGUCUCACCGCCGGCCGCUGCUUCUCCUUCCACCGAGCACCCCACUUCCCCUUCCACUGAGCACCACCGGGAUGUGCCCUUCCCCCGUUAGCAACGCCGCCAAGGAUUCCAACCACGCGGUCCACAGUCGGCCGGAGAAGGUCCCUCACGCCACUGGCCGCCGCCCGUUGCCGCGGUACACGGAGCCGCAGCCGAGAUCACCGCCCUCCGCCACGGCCAUCGGAGCCCCGCCCCGCAGCCGCCGCCGCAAGGGUCGGAGAACCCUCUCGAACCGUCGGGAGGUUUAAAAUUGANN
rnacentral:lncRNA from 1 species